rnacentral:rRNA from 1 species
UGAAUUGACGGGACCCGCACAAGCGGUGGAUGAUGUGGUUUAAUUCGAUGCAACGCGAAAACCUUACCUACCUUUGACAUGUACGGAAUUCGCCAGAGAUGGCUUAGUGCUCGAAAGAGAACCGUAACACAGGUGCUGCAUGGCUGUCGUCAGCUCGUGUCGUGAGAUGUUGGGUUAAGUCCCGCAACGAGCGCAACCCUUGUCAUUAGUUGCUACAUUUAGUUGGGCACUCUAAUGAGACUGCCGGUGACAAACCGGAGGAAGGUGGGGAUGACGUCAAGUCCUCAUGGCCCUUAUAGGUAGGGCUACACACGUCAUACAAUGGAUGGUACAAAGGGUCGCCAACCCGCGAGGGGGAGCCAAUCCCAUAAAACCAUUCGUAGUCCGGAUCGCAGUCUGCAACUCGACUGCGUGAAGUCGGAAUCGCUAGUAAUCGUGGAUCAGAAUGUCACGGUGAAUACGUUCCCGGGUCUU